rnacentral:rRNA from 1 species
GACGAACGCUGGCGGCGUGCUUAACACAUGCAAGUCGAGCGGUAAGGCCCUUUCGGGGGUACACGAGCGGCGAACGGGUGAGUAACACGUGGGUGACCUGCCCUCAGCUCUGGGGAUAAGCCCUGGGAAACCGGGUCUAAUACCGGAUAUGACUCCAUGACGCAUGUUGUGGGGUGGAAAGCCUUGUGCGGCUGAGGAUGGGCCCGCGGCCUAUCAGCUUGUUGGUGGGGUGAUGGCCUACCAAGG